GUUUGAUCNUGGCUCAGGACGAACGCUGGCGGCGUGCCUAAUACAUGCAAGUCGAACGCACUCUCGUUUAGAUUGAAGGAGCUUGCUCCUGAUUGAUAAACAUUUGAGUGAGUGGCGGACGGGUGAGUAACACGUGGGUAACCUGCCCUAAAGUGGGGGAUAACAUUUGGAAACAGAUGCUAAUACCGCAUAAAACCUAACACCGCAUGGUGUAGGGUUGAAAGAUGGUUUCGGCUAUCACUUUAGGAUGGACCCGCGGUGCAUUAGUUAGUUGGUGAGGUAAAGGCUCACCAAGACCGUGAUGCAUAGCCGACCUGAGAGGGUAAUCGGCCACACUGGGACUGAGACACGGCCCAGACUCCUACGGGAGGCAGCAGUAGGGAAUCUUCCACAAUGGACGAAAGUCUGAUGGAGCAACGCCGCGUGAGUGAAGAAGGUUUUCGGAUCGUAAAACUCUGUUGUUGGAGAAGAA
rnacentral:rRNA from 2 species